UACGUAGGGGCCGAGGGUUGUCCGGAUUUACUGGGCGUAAAGAGCGCGCAGGCGGUCGUGCAAGUCGCGUGUGAAAGCCCCCGGCUCAACUGGGGAGGGUCACGCGAUACUGCUCGACUCGAAGGCAGGAGAGGGAAGUGGAAUUCCCGGUGUAGUGGUGAAAUGCGUAGAUAUCGGGAGGAACACCAGUGGCGAAGGCGACUUCCUGGCCUGUUCUUGACGCUGAGGCGCGAAAGCUAGGGUAGCAAACGGG
rnacentral:rRNA from 1 species